GAAAUGCGAUAAGUAGUGUGAAUUGCAGAAUUCAGUGAAUCAUCGAAUCUUUGAACGCACAUUGCGCCCCUUGGUAUUCCAUGGGGCAUGCCUGUUCGAGCGUCAUUUGUACCUUCAAGCUUUGCUUGGUGUUGGGUGUUUGUCUCGCCUUUGCGUGUAGACUCGCCUUAAAACAAUUGGCAGCCGGCGUAUUGAUUUCGGAGCGCAGUACAUCUCGCGCUUUGCACUCAUAACGACGACGUCCAAAAGUACAUUUUUACACUCUUGACCUCGGAUCAGGUAGGGAUACCCGCUGAACUUAA
rnacentral:misc_RNA from 1 species